rnacentral:lncRNA from 1 species
UCUGACUGAAUUUCGGUAUAGUGCUGACAGAAACUCGCACCAUAUAGCAAUACUCAAAGUAUACUCACAAGAAUACGCUCGAUAAUAUAGAGAGAGAAAGAGAGAAAACUUAGUUUCUGGUGUGAUUUUCAAUUCUAACUUAGCCCUCUAUUUAUAGGAAAAUGUUAGAACGCCAAAGGAGACUAAAUUAAUAAAAUAUAUUAUUAUUUAUUCAAAAUUCCUACCCACAUGUUUUGAAAACUCUAGCAUGCCUUCUUUGGUCAAAAACAUCAACCACCCAUGUGCCAACAACCACAAAAACGUUUUUCUAAUAUAAAAUAAUUAAAACUUUCAAAAAUCAAUUAUUUCGGAACUCCGGAACUUCAAUAAUUCAUG